rnacentral:rRNA from 1 species
CCUAACACAUGCAAGUCGAGCGGCAGCGACAUAAACAAUCCUUCGGGUGCGUUUAUGGGCGGCGAGCGGCGGACGGGUGAGUAAUGCCUGGGAAUAUGCCCUGAUGUGGGGGAGUAACCAUUGGAAACGAUGGCUAAUACCGCAUAAUCUCUUCGGAGCAAAGAGGGGGACCUUCGGGCCUCUCGCGUCAGGAUUAGCCCCAGGUGAGAUUAGCUAGUUGGUGAGGUAAGAGCUCACCAAGGCGACGAUCUCUAGCUGGUCUGAGAGGAUGAUCAGCCACACUGGAACUGAGACACGGUCCAGACUCCUACGGGAGGCAGCAGUGGGGAAUAUUGCACAAUGGGGGAAACCCUGAUGCAGCCAUGCCGCGUGUGUGAAGAAGGCCUUCGGGUUGUAAAGCACUUUCAGUUGUGAGGAAGGCAUAUACGUUAAUAGCGUAUGUGUUUGACGUUAGCAACAGAAGAAGCACCGGCUAACUCCGUG